rnacentral:rRNA from 1 species
CCUACGGGUGGCAGCAGUGAGGAAUAUUGGUCAAUGGACGAGAGUCUGAACCAGCCAAGUAGCGUGAAGGAUGACUGCCCUAUGGGUUGUAAACUUCUUUUAUAUGGGAAUAAAAUGUUCCACGUGUGGGAUUUUGUAUGUACCAUAUGAAUAAGGAUCGGCUAACUCCGUGCCAGCAGCCGCGGUAAUACGGAGGAUCCGAGCGUUAUCCGGAUUUAUUGGGUUUAAAGGGAGCGUAGGUGGAUUGUUAAGUCAGUUGUGAAAGUUUGCGGCUCAACCGUAAAAUUGCAGUUGAAACUGGCAGUCUUGAGUACAGUAGAGGUGGGCGGAAUGCGUGGUGUAGCGGUGAAAUGCUUAGAUAUCACGAAGAACUCCGAUUGCGAAGGCAGCUCACUGGACUGCAACUGACGCUGAUGCUCGAAAGCGCGGGUAUCGAACAGGAUUAGAUACCCCUGUAGUC